rnacentral:sRNA from 1 species
UACCUAAGCUGGUAGCCCUAGCGGCUAUGUC